UUAAGUUCAGCGGGUAGUCCUACCUGAUUUGAGGUCAAAAUGUCAGGGGGUUGUCGUCCACUACAAAGAGCAAACGGACAGGUUAGAAGCAAAGCCCUAUAUAAGCAGCCGGCCUUCGGUGGCGUAGAUAAUUAUCACACCAGGGAUGGUCAACAAAGGUUUCGCUAAUGCAUUUAAGGAGAGCCGACUUCUGAGAAGCC
rnacentral:misc_RNA from 1 species